rnacentral:tRNA from 1 species
GGCUCUGUGGCGCAAUGGAUAGCGCAUUGGACUUCUAGCUGAGUCUGGGUUGGCGAUUCAAAGGUUGUGGGUUCGAGUCCCACCAGAGUCG